AGGAAGUAAAAGUCGUAACAAGGUCUCCGUUGGUGAACCAGCGGAGGGAUCAUUACCGAGUUUACAACUCCCAAACCCCUGUGAACAUACCACUUGUUGCCUCGGCGGAUCAGCCCGCUCCCGGUAAAACGGGACGGCCCGCCAGAGGACCCCUAAACUCUGUUUCUAUAUGUAACUUCUGAGUAAAACCAUAAAUAAAUCAAAACUUUCAACAACGGAUCUCUUGGUUCUGGCAUCGAUGAAGAACGCAGCAAAAUGCGAUAAGUAAUGUGAAUUGCAGAAUUCAGUGAAUCAUCGAAUCUUUGAACGCACAUUGCGCCCGCCAGUAUUCUGGCGGGCAUGCCUGUUCGAGCGUCAUUUCAACCCUCAAGCCCUCGGGUUUGGUGUUGGGGAUCGGCGAGCCCUUGCGGCAAGCCGGCCCCGAAAUCUAGUGGCGGUCUCGCUGCAGCCUCCAUUGCGUAGUAGUAAAACCCUCGCAACUGGAACGCGGCGCGGCCAAGCCGUUAAACCCCCAACUUCUGAAUGUGACCUCGGAUCAGGU
rnacentral:rRNA from 1 species